GAUGAACGCUGGCGGCGUGCCUAAUACAUGCAAGUCGUGCGAACAGAUAAGGAGCCUGCUCCUUUGACGUUAGCGGCGGACGGGUGAGUAACACGUGGAUAACCUACCUAUAAGACUGGGAUAACUUCGGGAAACCGGAGCUAAUACCGGAUAACAUAUUGAACCGCAUGGUUCAAUAGUGAAAGGCGGCUUUGCUGUCACUUAUAGAUGGAUCCGCGCCGUAUUAGCUAGUUGGUAAGGUAACGGCUUACCAAGGCAACGAUACGUAGCCGACCUGAGAGGGUGAUCGGCCACACUGGAACUGAGACACGGUCCAGACUCCUACGGGAGGCAGCAGUAGGGAAUCUUCCGCAAUGGGCGAAAGCCUGACGGAGCAACGCCGCGUGAGUGAUGAAGGUCUUCGGAUCGUAAAACUCUGUUAUCAGGGAAGAACAAAUGUGUAAAUAACUGUGCACAUCUUGACGGUACCUGAUCAGAAAGCCACGGCUAACUACGUG
rnacentral:rRNA from 1 species